GCCGCGGUAGUGUAGUGGUUAGCACAGGAGCUUGUGGAGCUCCUAGCCCGAGUUCAAAUCUCGGCUGCGGCC
rnacentral:tRNA from 1 species